CUUUAAUUUUAGGCAUAUUAUAGUAUGUCAACAUCAAACCAAGUAGGACCUCUUUCCUUCGAUGCUAUUUGAAAAAUAAAAGUUCUGCUUUCUGCCCGUGGAUGUCGCCGAAGAAGCAUCGUUAAAGUCUGUCUUCUCCCUGCCGUCAUGUCUAAGUCAGAGUCUCCUAAAGAGCCUGGACAGCUGAGGAAGCUCUUCAUUGGAGGGUUGAGCUUUGAAACAACCGAUGAGAGUCUGAGGAGCCAUUUUGAGUAAUGGGGAACACUCACGGACUGUGUGGUAAUGAGAGAUCCAAACACCAAGCGUUCCAGGGGUUUUGGGUUUGUCACAUAUGCCACUGUGGAGGAGAUGGAUGCAGCUAUGAAUGCAAGGCCACACAAGGUGGAUGGAAGAGCUGUGGAGACAAAGAGAGCUGUCUCAAGAGGAGAUUCUCCAAGACCAGGUGCCCACUUAGCUGUGAAAAAGAUAUUUGUUGGUGGCAUUAAAGAAGACACUGAAGAAUAUCACCUAAGAGAUAAUUUUGAACAGUGUGGAAAAAUUGAAGUGAUUGAAAUCAUGACUGACCGAGGCAGUGGCAAGAAAAGGGGCUUUGCCUUUGUAACCUUUGACGACCAUGACUCCGUGGAUGAGAUUGUCAUUCGGAAAUACCAUCCUGUGAAUGGCCACAACUGUGAAGUUAGGAAAGUCCUGUCAAAGCAAGAGAUGGCGAGUGCUUCAUCCAGCCAGAGAGGUCGAAGUGGUUCUGGAAACUUUGGUGGUGGUCAUGGAGGUGGUUUCGGUGGGAAUGACAACUUCGGUCAUGGAGGAAACUUUAGUGGUCAUGGUGGCUUUGGUGGCAGCCGUGGUGAUGGUGGAUAUGGUGGCAUUGGGGAUGGCUAUAAUGGAUUUGGUAAUGAUGGAAGCAGUUUUGGAGGUGGUGAAAGGUACAAUGAUUUUGGCAAUUACAACAGUCAGUCUUCAAAUUUUGGACCCAUGAAGGGAGGAAAUUUUGGAGGCAGAAGCUCUGGCCCCUAUGGCGGUGGAGGCCAAUACUUUGCAAGACCAUGAAACCAAGGUGGCUAUGGCGGUUCCAGCAGCAGCAGUAGCUAUGGCAGUGGCAGAAGAUUUUAAUUAGGAAACAAAGCAGGAGAGGAGACCCAGAGAAGUGACAGGGAAGCUACAGGUUACAACAGAUUUGUGAACUCAGCCAAGCACAGUGGUGGCAGGGCCUAGCUGCUACAAAGAAGACAUGUUUUAGACAAAUACUCAUGUGUAUGGGUAAAAAACUCGAGGACUGUAUUUGUGACUAAUUGUAUAACAGGUUAUUUUAGUUUCUGUUCUGUGGAAAGUGUAAAGCAGUUCCAACAAAGGGUUUUAAUGUAGAUUUUUUUUUUUUUUGCACCCAUGCUGUUGA